rnacentral:lncRNA from 1 species
ACUAGUAAAGACAUUACAAACUAGCAAAUCUAUAAGGAAAUAAACCAUUUUAGUAUGGCUAUUAUAUUCAUAUACAAUACAACAAAGUACGACCUUCAAAACAUUUAUCUAGUUUGUACAUGCCAUAGUUAGAAUUUAAAUAUUUUAAAUACCGAGACAAUAGAUAAGAUGAUAAACUUGCUGACGAUCCUUGAACUUGAAGCUUGAUUUGAUUUUUUUUUUGAUCUAUAAACAGAUAGACGUAAACAAACAAAGUAAGCUUACAUAGCUUAGUAGGUCUAUAACAUAACUAAAAUAUAUAUAAAAGAAGAAUAAUAUAAAUUCAUAAUUAAACUUUGAACUCGCAAAUACGACAUAUAUUACUAUUUGAAUAUUUGUUACUCAUAAUCAUCUUAUUUAUAAUCAAAUAUAUGUACUCGUAGAAUGCUUACCAAUGAAUAUAUAAAUAUGUAUAUACAAUAUGCAUAACAAUUGUAUAUUUAAAUACUCAUCAAAAACUUACAACCGAAUACUUUUAUAUAUCAUUUACAUAUAAAAAAAUGCAUACAUCAUUAUCAAAUACCUAAAACUGAAUGCAUAUACACUUCAUAUGUGUGUAACCGAACGCAUAUUUAUGUACUUAACAAAUUCUAUAACCGAAUAUAUAUAUACAUACACAUCAAACGAAUAUAACCAAAUACAUUUAUACUUACCAAAAUGCAUAUAUAGAUUUCUCACAUACAUCUAUCUGAAUGCGAAUAUACCUAACAAUUUCAUAAAAUUUAAUAUAUAUAUAUAAAUCCAUACUCAUCAAAUACAUAUAAACUAAUGUUUAUAUGCUCAUCAAACACAAUGCCCAAAUGUAUAUAAAUAUUCUAUAAAUCCAUAUGACUAAAUCAUACACAUAUUCGAUACAUGUAAACACAUGAUAUGAAUAGAUUCACCAGCACAAAACCUGCUAGGCUUAAGGCCUAAUUCAAUACACUGGCACUUAGCCUGCUAGACAUAAAGUCUGAAAUGUUUCACCGGCGUCAAGCCUGCUAGACUUAAAGUCUGAAAUGUUUCACUGGCAUCAAGCCUGCUAGGCACCGAGCCUGAACACUCAAUUUAUAUAAAUACAAAUCACUUUCAAAAUGUAUAUGUAUAUAAGAUUCCAUGUAUAAAAAUUUAUAUAAAUUAUACCUUUAAACCACAUAGGUAUAUAAAGUUCAGAUAUUGAAUCCAGCUCAAUAACUUAAUUAUACAUAUGAUCAUAUACAGAUAUAUAACUUAAUACAUUAAGGCCUACUAUUAAUAUCAUACAUUCGAACAUCUUAUAGUAAUCCAAGCUAACAAUUUUGUACCUUCAACUCCUUUCAAAAGCUUCACAUGAAUAUAAUUACAUAAUUGAAUCUCACAUAAACUUAUAUAAUUAUCAUACCUAAAUUCAAUACAUAAACAUGUACAUAUAUAAGUUUGUAUAUAUUCGAGUCUCAUACAUACUUUAUAUAAUAGUCAUACCUAAAUUUAACACAAAAACAUAUUCAAUUAUAUUUGUAUUUCCAAACUUCAUAUAAACUUAUAUAAAAAUUAUACCCAAACUCAAUACAAAAACAUAUACAUGUAAAUAUAUAUUUAUGUGCUCAUUCAAUUCUAUCAUAUACAUAUAAAUUUCAACUCACAUGUACAUACCAUUUCAAAACUACUUAUGCAAAUAUAACAUAUAUAUUUUUAAUCAAUCCAAUAGUUUGUACAUAUAUGUACUUACAUAUAUAUAUACAUUCGAACCUUUUAUAUAUAUAUAUACACUAUACAUACCUUUCGAUUAAUAACCAAGAAUUUAUACAUAAGCCAUAUUCAUUCUUCAACUAAAUUCAAGAGCUUACAUAUAUGUGUAUACAUAUAUGUAUAUUCGAACAUUAAUCAUAUAUUUAUAUAUAUAUACAUAUCAUUUUUACUUUGACUAAAUUCAAGCUAUAUACUUUCAAUUUGAGCUCAUCCAAAUACAAUAUAUAUAUUAAUUAAUAACAUUAAAUUGCUAGUUGACUUACCUCGGACGGUGAAAAAUUAAAAUCGGACGAUUAUUCGACGAUUUUAGCUUUCCCCCGAUCUAACUCUGAUUUAUUUGGUUCUUGAUCUUGAAUAUAUCCAGAAUGAGCU